rnacentral:rRNA from 1 species
ACUCCUACGGGAGGCAGCAGUGGGGAAUUUUGGACAAUGGGCGAAAGCCUGAUCCAGCAAUGCCGCGUGAGUGAAGAAGGCCUUCGGGUUGUAAAGCUCUUUUGUCAGGGAAGAAACGGUGAAAGCUAAUAUCUUUUGCUAAUGACGGUACCUGAAGAAUAAGCACCGGCUAACUACGUGCCAGCAGCCGCGGUAAUAAGUAGGGUGCAAGCGUUAAUCGGAAUUACUGGGCGUAAAGCGUGCGCAGGCGGUUUUGUAAGUCUGAUGUGAAAUCCCCGGGCUCAACCUGGGAAUUGCAUUGGAGACUGCAAGGCUAGAAUCUGGCAGAGGGGGGUAGAAUUCCACGUGUAGCAGUGAAAUGCGUAGAUAUGUGGAGGAACACCGAUGGCGAAGGCAGCCCCCUGGGUCAAGAUUGACGCUCAUGCACGAAAGCGUGGGGAGCAAACAGGAUUAGAAACCCCAGUAGUCCC